UUCUUCUUCUUCUUCUUCUUCUUCUUCAAUGAUCAACUCUUCGACUUUAUUCGGUUUCGGUUCGAAAGUACUCGUUUUAUUCUUCCUCUUCGCGUGAGUUUUGAAGGUAAAGUUUGGAGUCCGACGAAACGGCGUCGCCGGAAAUCCAAAACGAAGACUCGUCGUCGAACGGAAACGAUUGACGGCGGAAAGAUUGCUUAUGCUAAAAGCAGGCAAAACUGAAAUUCCCCGACAAGUCUGAUUCGGUCGGAAACAGAACAACAAAUCCAUCUUCUCCGGCAAGUGAAGAAGAAGAAGAGACGUUCUCUGGAUUUACUAUG